AGGUAGGAGGAGCACCAGGAGAGAGCAGAAUCCCGUAGACCAAAGUUACGGAGAAUGUGAAGAAGCUGUUGAUGAUCAACAGUGUCAAAGGCGGCAGAGAGAUCAAGGAGGAUUAGGAUAGAGUAUUGGCCGCGAGAUUUAGCAGCAAUUAAAUCGUUGGAUACUUUGGUCACAGCAGUUUCGACAGAGUGACCAGCGCGGAAUCCAGACUGAAGGGGGUCAAGCAGAGAGUUGGAUUCAAGAAAGUCUGUCAAUCUGGCGUAGACAACUCUCUCGAGGAUCUUGGAGGCAAAUGGCAGUAGUGAGAUAGGGCGGUAGUUGGAUGGGGAGUUGGGAUCGAGGUUGGGCUUUUUCAGAAUUGGGGUUACAGUUGCAUGUUUGAAGGCAGAGGGAAAUGUGCCAGAGGAAAGGGAGAGAUUGAAAAUGUUAGCGAAAGGAAGAGCAAGAGAGGGAGAGAAAGUGCGGAUGAGAUGCGAGGGAAUAGGAUCGAGGGAGCAGGUGGUGGGGCGGGAGGACAGGAGCAGAGCAGAAACCUCUUGUGCUGUAGCAGGUGCAAAUGAGCUUAGGAUGACAGGGGGAGUGGGGUUGGGUGAUGUAUUGAUACUGGUCGGAGAAAGAUUAGAG